GUCACAUACAUGGGCAGUCACACAGACAGACAGUCACACACACAGACAGUCACACACAGGCAGGCAGUCACACACAGAGACAGUCACACACACACACAGAGACAGACAGUCACACACACACACACACACAAGGACAGGCAGUCACACAGACAGUCACACACACACACACACACACAGUCACACGCACACAGGCAGGCAGUCACACAGACAGACAGUCACACACACAGACAGACAGACAGUCACACAAACAGGCAAACAGUCACACACACACACUUACCUCUUUCCAGUGGAUGCAGUUGGCUGAUGGGGAAGCAUCUUUCCCUCUUCCUGUACAGC